rnacentral:misc_RNA from 1 species
AACGCACGAGACCUGCGGACCUGCGGAGGGAUCAUUAAUGAGAAGCUGCCCCUCGUGGGUAGACCUCCCACCCUCUGUGAACUUACCUUCGUUGCUUUGGCAGGCCCGUCCUCUGGACCGCCGGCUUCGGCUGGCCCGUGCCUGCCAGAGGAUUCCAAACCCUGUCUGUCAGUGUUGUCUGAGUCUAUAUGAAAUCGUUAAAACUUUCAACAACGGAUCUCUAGAUCGGAAGAGCACACG